CUGACCUCAGAUCAGGCGAGACCACCCGCUGAGUUUAAGCAUAUCACUAAGCGGAGGAAAAGAAACUAACAAGGAUUCCCUUAGUAGCGGCGAGCGAACCGGGAAGAGCCCA
rnacentral:rRNA from 2 species